AGUGAACGCUGGCGGCAUGCCUUACACAUGCAAGUCGAACGGCAGCACGGGGCAACCUGGUGGCGAGUGGCGAACGGGUGAGUAAUGCAUCGGAACGUACCUUUCAGUGGGGGAUAACGUAGCGAAAGUUACGCUAAUACCGCAUAUUCUGUGAGCAGGAAAGCAAGGGAUCGCAAGACCUUGCGCUGAUUGAGCGGCCGAUGUCAGAUUAGCUAGUUGGUGAGGUAAAGGCUCACCAAGGCGACGAUCUGUAGCGGGUCUGAGAGGAUGAUCCGCCACACUGGAACUGAGACACGGUCCAGACUCCUACGGGAGGCAGCAGUGGGGAAUUUUGGACAAUGGGGGCAACCCUGAUCCAGCCAUGCCGCGUGAGUGAAGAAGGCCUUCGGGUUGUAAAGCUCUUUCGGCCGGGAAGAAAUCGCACGGGCUAAUACCCUGUGUGGAUGACGGUACCGGAAUAAGAAGCACCGGCUAACUACGUGCCAGCAGCCGCGGUAAGAC
rnacentral:rRNA from 1 species